AUUGCUGGAAGCACCUGGAGUUGUCAGAAGACCUGGACUAUGGAACAUGUUAGAAUACCUGGAUAUUGUAGACACUGAAGACCCAAUGUUAGAAGACCGGCACUCUGGAGACGUUGGAAGAUGUGGAUAU